UAGUCUUUAGGAACUACACAUGUGUC
rnacentral:piRNA from 1 species